CUGGAAACAGUGAAGUGCUUUCUAUUAGAAAGAGCCGGUGACAGGUGCUGCAUGGCUGUCGUCAGCUCGUGUCGUGAGAUGUUGGUUAAGUCCGCAACGAGCGCAACCCUCGCCUUUAGUUGCCAGCAUUCAGUUGGGCACUCUAAAGGGACUGCCGGUGUCAAACCGGAGGAAGGUGGGAUGACGUCAAGUCCUCAUGGCCUUUAUGUCUAGGGCUACACACGUACUACAAUGGCAGGUACAAAGGGCAGCGACACAGCGAUGUGAUGCGAAUCCCGAAAAGCCUGUCUCAGUCCGGAUCGGAGUCUGCAACUCGACUCCGUGAAGUUGGAAUCGCUAGUAAUCGUGGAUCAGCAUGCCACGGUGAAUACGUUCCCGGGCCUU
rnacentral:rRNA from 1 species